AUAAAGAUGCCCUUGGAAUAUUCAUAUUUUUGAUUUUUUUCAAGAGGAGUUUUUCAGACUGAUUUACUGUCAUGGUGACUUAACAAUAACAACAACAACUAAGCUUUUAAUCCCCAUGCUAGUUGCGGUUGACUAUAUGGAUUCUUUGUCACCAUUCAGUUCUGUUAGAUGUCAAAUCUACACUAAUAUUUAAGAUUUGUAAAUCCUUUAGUAUUAUUUGUCUCCAUGUCAUCUUAGGUUUUCCUUUUUCUCUUCCUCUUCUCACUCUUUCUCUAUUAACUUAUCAUUUUCCAUACUGGGGAAUUUGAAGCUUUAUGUUAGACAUGACUAAGCCAUCUUCAUGACUCUUUCUCAUUUUAUCUCCAUUAUAUGCUACAUGCAUCCUAUGAAGGAUGUGAUUAUUCAUGUUCUAUCCAUUUUUGUAUUACCAAAACCUUGAUGUCAUUUCUACCACAUUCUUCUUAUGUGUAUAUUGUACCUUAAAUAGGAAAAUAGAAGUUUCCUUUAUGAUCCUAUUAAUAAUGGUCCUUGAAACUCUUGCCUACUGAAGGUGAAUAGUAAAACAAGAAUUGGAAUAGUAAAUUUUAUGACACAUGUAAGACGUAACUCUCGUACGAGUCAAGCUUUAAAGUUGGCUUACUGAAAUUCCUGAUAGCUCCUUCGUGCCUCUUAGGGGAUAUAUAUCUCAGCUAAUUAUAUCUUGCAGGAAUAUAUUCAGCUUGUGAUCUUUAAAUUUUAGCUUACAUAGAAUAUAGUUCUAAGGCAUGAAGAAAGCAAGCUGCUGUCAGACCGUGGCUCAUUUUAAGAAGUUGCUUGUCUAACUGUUGUUAUGACUAAUAAGGAGAAUACGGCGCUGUACUUGUAUGUGAGGGUGGUCUGUGGUAGUUGGCUGAAGAACUGAGGUUGUUAAGGGAAGUUGUAUUGGUGAGGAGUGAGAACAGCUUUAGGAAGGGCUGCUAGCUGUAUAAAUAACAACUAUUGUAGCUAAAGAAGGACAUUGUGAAAAUAUCAGGAAUCUAUUCAAUCUCCCUUAUUCUCUCUAUUUCUCUCUCUACUUUCAGUUUCUAUCUAGUUUCUCUCCAGUUUCUGCCAUUCUCUGGAAUCAAGAAUCCUCCUCAACAACAGUUGGUAAUGAAAUGGAUUUUGGUUGGACAACGUUACAAAUCUGCUUAAGGAGAGUUGCAAUAAUGGUUCAUUGCAUGUCAGGCACUAAAUUCCAGGUUCUUCUUUCUUGAAAUUUCUCUUUUCUCUCUUUCUCUUUUUCUUCUUAUUUCUUCCCUCUAAUUCUUCUUUCUUCCUUCUUUAAAAUUUCUUCCCUUCUUUUUCCUUUAUUUUCUUGUUUCCUCUUAACAGCACCUGCCAUUUUUUCUUUCUUGAAAUCUAGAAUUCUAUCCUUUCCCAAGAACAUUGAAAUUGGGUUGCUUUCUUCCACAAAUUUCUUGAAGUUGCCAAAAGUAUUUGCAAUUAAAAAGCAAGGCCUUGCAACAUAUAUUCAGCUGAAAUGGAAGGAGGGUGGAUUCUAUUCCAAUGAUAAGUGAAACUCCAUAGAGGAUGAAUGGGAAAUAGCAAUAAGGCAAAGAAAGAAAUUCAUCUCCUUGGUGCAAAGGGGAAAAAAAAAUUCAAUUCAACAUUUUGAUUCCACUGGUUUUUUCCUGUUGCAUAUUGAAGUUCACUUUCUGGAGAUGGAGGCCCUAGUUUUUCUGCAAUAUUGUGUUCCUAUUGUUCGUACUUCAGGACAAGAAUGAUUUAAAUAAGCUGGGAAUGUUAUGACUAAUAAGGAAAAUAAGGGGCUGUGAUUGUAUGUGGGGGUGGUCUUUGGUAGUUAGCUGAAGGACUGAGGUUGAAGGGAAGUUGUAUUUUCAGGCACAGUUAAGGGCUAGAAGCUGUGUAAAUAACAACAUAGGUAUUUGAAGUAUAAUAACCAGUCCUACUGCUACCAGUACUAAGAUUAGGAAACUGUAAAUAAGAAAUUACUGAUCCAAUCUAACUAGUAAUAUAAAACUGAUCCAAUCUAGCUAGUAAUAGAAAAUCAUCUCUAACUAGCAAAAUAAAUGGAACUCUUUAAAUAUUCCAGUAAUAAAUAAGAUUUGUAAGAAUUGUUGUAUAUUCUAUUCUGAAUAAAGGUGUUUAUAUACUGAUUAUAAGGCAUUGGUACGAUAACUAAUCAAUCUCCAAAAAAUCCUCUCUAAAUCAAUGGGUAUCAUUGGCCGUGUGAUUUUGCUAUCUAUUAAUUAUUUAUAGAUUAUGUCUACACUAUAACAAUUCCUGAAUAAUAAUAUCAUUCCUAAAUUAUAUACAUCUAAACUUCUUAAUUUUACAAUGAAAAAUUAAAUCAAUAUGAUUCCUAAAUUCAAUAUUAUGAUUGCAUAAACAAAUCUCAAUUAAUGGGCUUAUAUGGAACGUGCCAAAACAAUGUAAAUGUGGAUUACUUGGAUGCAAGUCAUUUAUUAUGCAAUAUCUUCAAAUGGGUUUAGGGAAUUGAUGAUGCGUACACCAUAGUGGAUUUGUAAGGGGGUUAAUGACAUUUCAUCUCAAACUUUUUUAUCUUGUAGGUUAUUGCUUCAAGAAGUUUGACUUUGUAUUUUUUUGCAAAGCUCACUUUACUUUUUCAAAGUGGUUAAUAUUUUUGUAAUGCCAGUAUUAUUUGUACUUUGAUGUAUGAUGGAGGAGUUUUGGCUUCUUUAUCCAUACAACAUAAAAUAUUGAUGAGGUUCUUCAGAAAAUCAAGAACUUGGUUGUUCCAUAUGCAUCUAAUUAUUUAAGAAAGGAGACUUCUUUUCUCUCUCUCUCUCCCCUUUUUAUUUAACUAUUAGUUGCCCCAAGUAGGACUGCGCAUGGUUCCGGGGGUUCCAAACUGAACCGAAGAAUCUUACCAAACUGAAUCGAAAUUGAAAAAUGAUUGAUGGUGUAGGAACCGAACCGUAUCGAACCAAAUUUAUGUAGCUAUUUGGUUAUGUGUGUACAUGUACUUAUAAUUGUUGUUAGUAGCUAUAUGUAUAUAUAUAAAAUAAUAACAUAAAGCUAUUUAUGUUUUAGUCACUAGUCAAUUAUUAAAGGUUUAUAAUGGUAUAAUUCAAUAAAUUUAAUUCGUUAAUUAUAGUUCAUUCUAUUUAAAUAAAUUAUAUUAUACAUCAUCUCCA
rnacentral:lncRNA from 1 species